GACGAACGCUGGCGGCGUGCCUAACACAUGCAAGUCGAGCGGAGAUAAGCGGAUGGUAACUGAAGUUUGUCUUAGCGGCGGACGGGUGAGUAACACGUGGGCAACCUGCCUUGGAGUGGGGGAGUAACACCGGGAAAUCGGUGCUAAUACCGCAUAACAUACACAUACUGCAUGGUGAGUGUAUCAAAGGAGCAAUCCGCUUUAAGAUGGGCCCGCGGCUGAUUAGCUAGUUGGUAAGGUAACGGCUUACCAAGGCGACGAUCAGUAGCCGACCUGAGAGGGUGACCGGCCACACUGGAACUGAGACACGGUCCAGACUCCUACGGGAGGCAGCAGUGGGGAAUAUUGCGCAAUGGGGGAAACCCUGACGCAGCAACGCCGCGUGGAGGAAGAAGGUCUUCGGAUUGUAAACUCCUGUCUUCUGGGACGAAGUAUGACGGUACCAGAGGAGGAAGCCACGGCUAACUACGUG
rnacentral:rRNA from 1 species